UUCCAAAACGCGAAACAUUACCUUAUUUUGAAAUUUUUAUUUUUGAAUAAUAGCGAAUACGAUAUUUAAACGAUGUACAUUAUUUGUUUGGCUUAAGAUAAAAUGAUUUAUUGGAUGAAUGUAAAGAGGCUUGAUUCAUGGGGCGAUGAUAUGAAAUAAAAGUAUAGUGCGACAUGGAACAAUGAUACAUGCAUAAAAUAUUCCACAAGCAAAUGGCAAUAAUAUGAACACGAGUAAGCAAAUUAAAGUACAUGCAAUAGAAAUAAUCUCACAAUAUGCACUCUUUAAAAAAAUUAAUCAUUAAUAAUCAAGAACAAAUGAAUUAAAUGAUACAAUUUAAAAAUAUAUAUAAUAAAUAAAUAAAUAGUUAAAAGCAAAUUAAAAUAACAAUUGCAAGAUGAAUUUUAAAUGACCAUGAAUGAAUUUAAAAUAAAUAAUGUAAAAAAAGAAAGUUAAAAUCG
rnacentral:lncRNA from 1 species